CACUGUCCCCAACUGUUUACAUAAACCAUUACCUCCACACUAAAACUAUAGCAUUUUUAGAUCUCAUGUUGUUGUCCCGACCUCCGUAAAGUGUCAUUAAUGCAAGAACGAAUGUAAGUGUCGUCAAGACCAACACAUGUGGUAACUCCAACGAGAACCAGGCCAAUAAGAUGAAGAAAGUCAAGAGUUAGUCUAAGGUAUUUCACUCAGUUUACAGUUGAGAUGGGUUCAGUCUCACAUUGUAGUAAAACUCCCCAAAGUUGGACUCGGUCUGAAUUACCGGUGCACAUGCCGAGUUGUAAUUGGCCGCCUGACACAACACCAGUCUCUCACCAACUGCCAGAUAAUGUGAUGGCAUCCAGCCAGUGCUGGAUUUAGGCAUCAGCCUCUACAAAACCCUGGGCAGCACUCAAAUUAGUCUUGAAUCCUGACUCUACAGUACCAAAACAUCUGCUGACACUAAACUAGGUGGGAAGCAAAGGCUACUGCAGCCAUAGGCCCAUAGGUGAAUUAUACAGUAAUUCAAUUAUGUACUGUAAUGAUGCUUUUACUCAUGUCCUUACUAAUGUAUUAAUGACAGUGAAGAAGGUGAAACAAGAAGAAAGCUGAUAUUCUUCCUGAGAAAACUGAGGAACUGGAAUGUGUCUUCAUGUUCAUUAGUUAGAUCAAUUCCACAAACCACCAAGACCCUACAGGACCCACACAUUGGCCUUAGCACAUGUACAAAGCUUUACACAUUGCUCACUAACUUCUUGAAAUAAAUCCUAGAAUAUUUUGAUGAAAUUGGACUCAAAGCAAAAGGAGACCUGCCAGAUGUAGAGUACAGGUGUGUGAAUAAAAGGGAGUGAGAAAAAACAAGUCAGUGAUGGUGAUGCAGCAAAUGAUGAUGACAGGAUUUCUCCAAGAGACAAAUUUUGAGUAAAAUCCUUUAUUCCCAUGAUGGAUGCCCUUGAAAUCAGUGUGAAAAAAGACAGCCAUAUACAGUACAAUAAUGUUGCAAAUAUAUAUAAUUUUUUUGUUGAUUUAGAAGAGGAACAGUUGUGUGACAGUGUAAAGUUUCUGGUGAAAGACUAUCCUGAUGAUAUUGAUGUUAACCUUGUUGGGGAAGUAAAGCUUUUUAAUGUUUAUACCAAGAAAAAUUAUUCUAAUAAAGGAUAUUUAUGCCACUAGGACCUCUAUCAAGUCAUCGUCCAAGAUAAGAUUCAUUUGGCCUUCCCUAAUGUAGAAGCAAUAUUGUGGCUACUUUUCAGUCUAAUGGUAACAAACUGCUCAGGAGAAAGGUAAAUACUGUAGCUGAAAAGGAUUAAGAAUGAACUAUGGACAUCAAUGCUGUGAGAAAAGUUCUCUGCAUUAAGCAUUAUGUGAAUAGAAAGUGAAAAAUUUGUAGCUUAUCAUUGGACGACUUCAUCCAUGACUUUGCUCUUGGGAAAAUAUGAAAGAAUUUUUUUUAAAUUUUAUGUGAUGUUCAAACAGAAGAGACAGUGCCAGUUGCAUUACUGCUUCCAUUUACUAAGGGUUGAUCUGUGCAAUGUGUUAUGUUAAAUGUAUUCAAUUUCAUAUUUGUUGGUUGAGAAUUCAUAAGGUAUUUUAUAAUGGAAAUAAGGCUUUUCUGAAAUGUAUAUGUUAUUUAGAUAAUAAGUUGUUCAUUGCAUCUUUGCCUAUGUAUACUGUAUAUGUAAAUACAAAGCUUUAUCA
rnacentral:lncRNA from 1 species